UAUCGUAGAGAAGUCGUUAAGCUCGCCGCCUGGGAAGUAUAGUCGCAAGGCCGAAACUUAAAGGAAUUGGCGGGGGAGCACUACAAGGGGUGCGGCGUGCGGUUCAAUCUAAUUCAACGCAGAAAAUCUCACCAGGAACGACGGCAGAAUGAAAGUCAGGCUGAAGACCUUACUUGACAAGCCGAGAGGUAUUGCAUGGCCGCCGUCAGCUCGUGCCGUAAGGUGUCCUCUUAAGUGAGGUAACGAGCGAGACCUAUACCUACAAUUACCAUCAGGCCUUUUUGGGUGACUGGGUACAUUGUAGGGACUGCCUUGGAAACAAGGAGGAAGGUGUAGGCUACGGUAGGUCUGUAUGAUCCGAAUUCCCUGGGCUACACGCGCGCAACAAUGGUAGGGACAAUGGGCUACAACUCCGAAAGGAGAAGUUAAUCCUCUAAACCCUAUCUUAGUUCAGAUUGAGGACUGUAACCCGUCCUCAUGACGAUGGAAUCCCUAGUAAGUC
rnacentral:rRNA from 1 species